rnacentral:rRNA from 1 species
UACCUGCAGCUCAAGUGGUGAUCAUUAUUAUUGGGCCUAAAACGUCCGUAGCCGGUUUAGUAAAUGCCUGGGUAAAUCGUGCAGCUUAACUAUACGACUUCCGGGUAGACUACUAAACUUGAGACCGGGAGAGGCUAGAGGUACUCCUGGGGUAGAGGUGAAAUUCUGUAAUCCUAGGGGGACCACCAGUGGCGAAGGCGUCUAGCUAGAACGGGUCUGACGGUGAGGGACGAAGCCCUGGGGCACAAACCGGAUUAGAUACCCGGGUAGUCCAGGGUGUAAACGCUGCUUGCUUGAUGUUAGUUGGGCUCCGAGCCCAACUAGUGUCGGAGAGAAGUUGUUAAGCAAGCUGCCUGGGAAGUACGGUCGCAAGGCUGAAACUUAAAGGAAUUGGCGGGGGAGCACAGCAACGGGUGGAGCGUGCGGUUU